rnacentral:rRNA from 1 species
GGGCUCUCGCGGUUACGUCCGUUAUGCUGCUCACUUUCUCUACUUGUGACGACGCUCCGUCUUCGGAGCACAUCAUCCUCGAGCCGUUGGGCCGCUACUUCUUUCGUCCAUAGAGGAGAGGGAACGCUGCUGGGUAUGGUUAGCUCAAGAACUUGGCAACUUGGCUAGCCUUCUGCGCCAACUUCAGUAAAGGACCAUUUAGCAACUCUUUCUUGACCUCGAGCCGCCCUGCCGGUGGCUCGAAGAGUUCUACCACCGACUGGCGAAGCUAGUGUAACCUCUGCUUCUCCUCGCACAAGAGCGGACUUCUCGUCGGGUCCAGUUGUUACCAGUAACAACCUACCUCCUCCCGGCGCGUGCGAGCACAGUGCCGGAGGACCUCUCGACCGAACCAGAGUUGGUUCGU